GGAUGAGAUCAUACCAGCACUAAAGCACCGUAUCCCAUCAGAACUUCGAAGUUAAGCGUGCAUGGGCGAGAGUAGUACUAGGAUGGGUGACCUCCUGGGAAGUCCUCGUGUUGCAUUCC
rnacentral:rRNA from 1 species